rnacentral:lncRNA from 1 species
GGGAGAGCUUGACCGGGGCACUGCCUCGUUCUACCCUAAACAAGCAGUUCAGAGGUGGAGGGAGUGAUUGAGGGGGCGAGGACGGUGUUGGUGGUCAUUCUGUGUCCAGCCGUCACGGUGGUGGGAGUCUUGGAGGUGAUGAGUGGUGAUCUUGGACGUCCCUCCCUCCAUCUUGACACGAUUAGUUAAGUGUCUUGAUGACUGGAGAAAUUUUGCAAACGAGCCUUGCGUCACCUAAUGAUCGGAGAGACUGGCCUGCUGGUUGAAGUAUUAGAUUUGUACUAGGCUACAGCUGCACCUGUACUUCGACCAUACUCGCUAUCGCUGCUAGGUGAGUGGGAUUGCAUUUUACACUAGUUUCUACGUGGAAAUUUUAUGGAAUAGAAAUUUUAAAAAGCCUGGCAUAGCUCGUAUUUUGUUCCUUUAAGAGCGCUCGUUGGCAACAGUAACGAUAACUGGAUUUUAUGACCGUAAUAGUUGCUCUAUUUGAGUUUAAUGUAGAUCUCAAAUGGUGAAUGUCUUGUAGCUGUUGUGAAAAUUUUAUUGAUAAAAAAAACUACAGAUUUUGAAGUUUAGCAUAAACUGUCUUUAAAGCAGUCGGUCAUAAGGAGUUAUAGUAUUUUGCUGGGCUUUAAAUAUAAAUUGUUGUAGGCAACAGCUGUCUAGUUGGAUUUGAUAUUGAACCUACCAUAUAUUUUUGUUCUGACUUUAGUGCAACAUAAAAGGUUGAAAAUUGUCAUUAGUACGUACUUGCGUUAGGACAGGUUUAUUAACCUGUCCUAACAAUUUUUCUAAAUUGUAAACUUUAAAGUAAGGAUUGGAGCACACUAGCAAGUCUUGUUGAACUUCGUGGUAUAUUCCUUUGACUUGAGGAAAGAAUACAGAAGUCGGUCUUGUUAUUAAAGAUCUCUCAUUGCCUGAUCAGGUCACGUUACUAGACUACCUGCAGUUUAGAUUUACCAAUAAACAUAAAUAUAACUUUGCGCAAACGUUUACCUGAAGGUAAUUGACACCAUUCCCUAAAUCUAGCCCUGUAGCUUGUCUCAUGGAUACUACGUAAUAAUGUCAAAAUUAUCACAAAUAAAAGGUCACUAUAUACGCAAACAGCAGCGUGCCUCUGUCGUCUGGGACUUUUCCUUCUCUGGGAUGUUCUGCAGUAGUCUGAUUAAGGGGGUACUGCACCAACUUCUGGCUGGGGAGGGAUUCUGCAUAAGAGAAUAUCAGUGGGAGGGACGGGGGCUGAAUAACCAAUGGGCGGUUGGUUGGCAGAGGCUGACGGCAGUUAGUCAAUUUUAGACAUAAAAUAGUUAAUGUACUUUUCCUCUAACUUCCAUCUCAAAUAAUGUAGCUUAGCCAAUUUCCUUAAAUAGUUGUUAGAAAAACGGUGAAUAUGGGACUAGUGAAGAGUCAAUAUUGGGGAAGCAUUAGUCGUGAUUGCAUACAUCACUCGCAACAAUCAAAACUACAGAUCCCUCAGAAGUAGUAGACAUAUUCAAACACUGGCAGGAAAUCUUCAAUCCCCACCCCCCACAGCCAACAGCAAUACAAAACAUAAACAGAGUAGAAACAUGGAUAUGACACAACCCUCAUGCCAUCACACACCACCCUACCAUUGACCUCGCGACACUAGACGAUUUAGAAAGUGACCUCACAGAAUCAAUACUACCUGAAGAAGUUAAACUCGUGCUCAAGAACACCAGACGUAAAGCCCCAGGAGCCUCUGGCAUUGGCCAAGCUCUCCUCAAGCAACUUCCAGACCCCUAAUCUUGGCACUAACAGACGUCUACAACGCCUCACUAGCAACAAGAUAUUUCCCAAGCCCAUUCAAAGAAGCCACAGCAAUCCUCAUUCCAAAACCCCAAAAAUCCCCGACAGACCCCAAGAACUACAGACCGAUCAGCCUACUAAGAGACAUUAGGGAAAGUAUACGAAAAACUCAUUAAUCAUAAACUCAGGUAUCACCUAGAACACAAACAUAUUGACA